rnacentral:rRNA from 1 species
UCGAGGGGAAACGACAUCGAAAGCUUGCUUUUGAUGGGCGUCGACCGGCGCACGGGUGAGUAACGCGUAUCCAACCUGCCCACCACUUGGGGAUAACCUUGCGAAAGUAAGACUAAUACCCAAUGAUAUCCCACGAAGGCAUCCGAAUGGGAUUAAAGAUUUAUCGGUGAUGGAUGGGGAUGCGUCUGAUUAGCUUGUUGGCGGGGUAACGGCCCACCAAGGCAACGAUCAGUAGGGGUUCUGAGAGGAAGGUCCCCACAUUGGAACUGAGACACGGUCCAAACUCC